GGAAGAUUGGCAGAGUGACCGAAUGCGCUGGACUCGAAAUCCGGUAUACGCUUUCCGCGUAUCGGGGGUUUGAAUCCCUCAUCUUCCG
rfam:Prevotella oris C735 genomic scaffold supercont1.1, whole genome shotgun sequence.